rnacentral:tRNA from 37 species
GUCCCCAUCGUCUAGAGGCCUAGGACACUACCCUUUCACGGUAGGUACCGGGGUUCGAAUCCCCGUGGGGACGCCA